GAUGAACGCUGGCGGCGCGCCUAACACAUGCAAGUCGAACGGUUAAAGCAUCUUCGGAUGUGCAUAAAGUGGCGAACGGCUGAGUAACACGUGGGCAACCCGCCCCUCGCAUCGGGACAGCCUCGGGAAACCGUGGUUAAUACCGGAUACUCCGCCACCCCCGCAUGGGGGAGGCGGGAAAGCCCAGACGGCGAGGGAUGGGCCCGCGGCCUGUUAGCUUGUUGGUGGGGCAGUGGCCCACCAAGGCGAUGAUGGGUAGCCGGGUUGAGAGACCGACCGGCCAGAUUGGGACUGAGACACGGCCCAGACUCCUACGGGAGGCAGCAGUGGGGAAUCUUGCACAAUGGGCGAAAGCCUGAUGCAGCGACGCCGCGUGCGGGACGAAGGCCUUCGGGUCGUAAACCGCUUUCAGCAGGGACGAGGCCGCAAGGUGACGGUACCUGCAGAAGAAGCCCCGGCUAACUACGUGCCAGCAGCCGCGGUAAUACGUAGGGGGCGAGCGUUAUCCGGAUUCAUUGGGCGUAAAGCGCGCGUAGGCGGCCUGCUAGGUCGGGAGUCAAAUCCGGGGGCUCAACCCCCGUCCGCUCCCGAUACCGGCUGGCUUGAGUCUGGUAGGGGAAGGUGGAAUUCCCAGUGUAGCGGUGGAAUGCGCAGAUAUUGGGAAGAACACCGGUGGCGAAGGCGGCCUUCUGGGCCACGACUGACGCUGAGGCGCGAAAGCUAGGGGAGCGAACAGGAUUAUAUACCCCUGGUAGUCCAAGGGCGAAUUCCACAGUGGGAUAUCAAGCUAUCGAUAUCGUCCACCUCGAGGGGGCGCCCGGUCCCAGCUUUGUCCCUUUAUGAGGGUUAUAUUAACG
rnacentral:rRNA from 1 species